rnacentral:rRNA from 1 species
GAUGAACGCUGGCGGCGUGCCUAAUACAUGCAAGUCGAGCGAACAGAUAAGGAGCUUGCUCCUUUGACGUUAGCGGCGGACGGGUGAGUAACACGUGGGUAACCUACCUAUAAGACUGGAAUAACUCCGGGAAACCGGGGCUAAUGCCGGAUAACAUUUAGAACCGCAUGGUUCUAAAGUGAAGGAUGGUUUUACUAUCACUUAUAGAUGGACCCGCGCCGUAUUAGCUAGUUGGUAAGGUAACGGCUUACCAAGGCAACGAUACGUAGCCGACCUGAGAGGGUGAUCGGCCACACUGGAACUGAGACACGGUCCAGACUCCUACGGGAGGCAGCAGUAGGGAAUCUUCCGCAAUGGGCGAAAGCCUGACGGAGCAACGCCGCGUGAGUGAUGAAGGUCUUCGGAUCGUAAAACUCUGUUAUUAGGGAAGAACAAAUGUGUAAGUAACUGUGCACGUCUUGACGGUACCUAAUCAGAAAGCCACGGCUAACUACGUG